GCCAGGUGUGGUGGUGCGCACCUGUAGUCCCAGCUACUUGGGAGGCUGAGGUGGGAGGAUCACCUGAGCCCAGGAGGUCUAGGCUGCAGUGAGCCGUGAUCACUCCACUACACUCCAGCCUGGGCAAUAGAGUGAAAACCUGUCUGAA
rfam:Gorilla gorilla gorilla genomic chromosome, chr16, whole genome shotgun sequence